GAGCGGACGACGGUGACGACGUCGUCCGUUGUUGACGAGCAGCUUGCCAGAUGAGCCCAGAGAUUGACAGACCCUCAGUGAUUGGUUGCUAUCCCGGGUCCAGGGCUGAAGGAGCAUCUUAAAACGCGCGGGCAUGGAGAUGGAGUUGUGGAUGGUGCUAAGACACGGCGGCGUCCCUUAUCGUGCGGCAGUUUCGCCGUUCUGCGAAUCCUUUAAAUGAGUAAGUGCAGUCGCAGCCAUCGUGUUCGGGCAGCAAGAUUUGAAGGAGUUGGACCAGGCCCCGCACAAAUGGUCGUUUGAUUCGCUUGUUUGCGUGCGCGUGUGUUUAUGACGAAACCAGACUUCAUUACAAAACAUGCGAUUCUGUCCGUUUCGUGCUAACCCGUUUUUGCUCGACACAGACGUUCGGUGAAGAGCAAUCGCAGGAAUCGCAGCAUCCAGAAGUUCGGAGGUGGCCAUAAAAUGAUUUUCGCCUGAUGGAUGGCCCCAACGGAGCGUGUGGAUAGAGACAGCGCUGGGGAAACAAAAAAAAAAUUAAAUAAAAUGCUACAUCGACACACUCAACGAUCAGCGUGUACGCCAUUGAAAUUCUGGCAACGUUCUGCUGCAUGUACGAAACGACAUUAAAUUUGUCAAUUCGUGUUUUAAUGACAGGUCGAGGACGCGUCCUGAGUGUCUACCUAAUCUGAGAUUGAUCAAUUGGAACAGGUUGCCUUGCGGUGCUGUCUGCUGCUGGGCGUCAGCAUUUGCAAAAUAGAAGAGCAGGGGGAAAACCCACCCACAGAUAUGCACAAAACAAAACGAAAAAAAAAAAUCCUCACGCCAUAAAUGGACGGAUAAAGCCCAGAUGGAAACAAACAAACCCUGAAACAGCUCUAGGAUAUCAUGCACGUACACGCAGCAAAGCCAAGACCGCACCGUUCGCAAUCGUACUAGAAAUAAUCACAUCAGCAGGAUAAGCAGCGGGAUUCCACCAGCGGAUGCCGGGCGACGAAAGUAUACACCAAAGUAAAGCACAAACGCACUCACACACACAUAAAAGCCAAAACCUUUUCGGUGGCUUUGGCCCGGAUAAGGACGCUGAUAAAUUAACGUGCCAUUUGAUCAUAAUAAAAAUCCAUUAAUCCUU